CCCUUUUUGUUUUCCUGAUGCUUUUUACAUCCUAGCAUUUUCCAUGCAAGGAUAUAAUUUACAAUACUGAGAGUUGGUGUCUCCCUUUGAGUCUUUAUCCAACUUUUCUUACAUCUCUUUUAUUGGCUGCUAACACCAACAAAUACCAGAAGUGGUGGGGACACUUGCAGUUUUCCUGGGGCAUCAAGUCCUGAUGUUUGCUGAGUCCCAAAGUUGCUCUGCUUUUUGUCUGCUUCUAAUAGUAACAUGAAUUGAAUUUGACCAACACCCUUUUCAGCACCUACUGAGACGCUCAGUGGCUUCCCUGUUAAUCUAUGUGAGUACUGAACUACAUAAAUAGAUUUCUUAGUGUUGAAUUGCUUUUGAAGAUCCGAAAUGAACCCUACUGGGUCACAAUGCACCAUUUGAAAUAUUUUAUUCAGUGUCUUUGCAUCUAUGUCCAUAAGAUUUAAGCCUUAAUUUUGAGAGGCCUGAAUGCCAGGAUGUGGAAUUUGGAUAUAUUUGGUAAGGAAGAGUGGGGGAACAUUGAAGGUUUGAUCGAUAGCUUGCCACGUGUAAGAUCUCCUGGCCAAUGCCAGGAAUUUAUCUUGAGUGAUUAUCUGGGACACUGUUCUGUUUUACAUUGCUGAAUGUUUCUUGUCUCAGUCCUGUUCUAGACAGUAUGCUUAAGGAUCAUUGUGCAGAUCCAAUCACAAAAUCUUUCCUUUUCUCUUAGUUGGAAAUCAAUCUAUUUUGUGUAGCCUGAGUUUCUUUUCAUGCUUGCAUGUUUUUGGGAAGAGUGGUUUCCCAAGAAGGGGUGUGGAGCAAUUUGAAUAACAGCUUACAAGGAAAGAAGCCCUGUGCCCAAGACCUUCUACAGGGGUACUUACUGCAGUGAGCUAAUACGGCAUGCACACAAGCAGGGUGACUACUGUAUCUGCUGAAAUCUCCUGACAUGUCAGGAAGUCUGUUCUGUUGUUAAACUAUGCCAGUGUUGUGUCCCUUGCUGUUCUGAAAACAGUAUCACUGUAUGCAGAAGAGACCCCUUAAUUCCAGCCAAAGUGUUUAAAGCCCAAGACUAGCUGAUGAAUUCAAGCCCAAAACAAAACAAGGUGGGAAACACAUCUGUUGGCCCCUGAAGACUCCUGAAAAUGUCUCAGAUGCCUUCAUGACAGCUCAAGGUCUGCAGAGAAGCUGUCUGGCCCCAGUUCUGUCCUUGGACUCAUCACUCUGGAUUGCAAGGGCCCAGCUCUCCUCGAGAAAGACCUUAUCAUUCUCCAUGAUAAAAAGGUUUAGCCCAGUCCAGAGGCUGUCAGACAAAAACUACAUUUCCCAGUGUCCCUUGUAGCCAAGUGGCCACGUGACCAAGCUACUCUCAGAAGGUUGUAAACAGAAGUGUUGUUUUGCCGUUUGCUUGUCUUCUGUUUAAAUACACUGGCCCAUACUCCCCAAUAUAGUUCCCACUUCCCCAGACGUGGAGCCGAGGAUGGAGGAGACCGGUCCAGACCACCAUGCUGGCUCCCUCUCCAUCUCUGUUAUACAGGCGCUAGCUGAGAGCUGCAGCCCUCGAUGAGGCCAUCUGAGCAAGCCCUCUCAGAGGUGAUUUCAGACCCGGACUCACAGCUGUGUCUCCAUGCAGUUACUGUGGGCAAACUUGGAAAUCGCUCCAUGAUUGAACUCAUCAUCGGGGUCGGCUUCGAGCAUCUUUACCUGCUGAGCUGUUUUACUGGCCCACCUCACUAAUUCCUCACUGCUUAAAAGGCUGCGGUUUUGAGCCGGGUGUGAUACGGACCUUCAGUUCCAGCACUUGGGAGGCAGAGGCAGCUGGGUCUCUGUGAGCUAGUGGCCAACCAAAGCCACUUGCUGGGCUGGUCUCAAAAUAAAGGUUAAGGUUGCAGCCAGCUGCAGAGGCACGUGUCUGAAAUCCCAGCUCUCAGGAGGAGGCUGGGGACAAGCGCUUGUGUUCUAGCCACACAACAGAUUCGAGGCCAGCAGGGCUCUAACAGGAAAACGGUUUCUAAAAGCCAAGAGCUGAGGAUGUGGUUCGGUGGUAAAGUACACUUCCCAGAGCCCCACCUGCCCACACAUACAAGGUUACAGUUACCUCCUAAAAUACAGCACUCCCAAUUACAAGCAGGUUACAGACGAACUUCUAAUAUAAGUAUGUCUGGGGCAUAUUGGCAGUGAUUUUACUUGCUGACAGAGGCACUGUGACACAAGGCACAUACUGUCCUCUGGGUCUGUCCUGUUAGGACUCCAACACCAACUCUAAGAAGACUGGAA
rnacentral:sRNA from 1 species